UUCUUUUAUAAGGACUUAAAGAAGAAAUUGUGCUGUUAUCCCUACGGUAGCUUGGUUGAAUUUCAGUUUGAAGAUGAGAGUAAAAGGGGAAUAAAGAUUUGGUUUUUUACCGCCCCAGUUAAACAGAAGUUAAGUUCGAUAGGGUCUUGUCGUCCUUCUUAUAUAUACAAGUUUUUUUACUUGAUUGAAAAGUUAAAAUAGUUAGGAUAAUAAAGAAGUUUAUAUGUCAGACCUUUCAUUCUGGCCUCCAAUUAAAAGGCAAAUGAUUAUGCUACCUUAGCACAAAAUAAUUGCGGCUAUUUAAAAAUCAUUGAGCAGGUCCUACUGAAUAUUAGAUCAUUCAGAAAUGUUUUUGAUAAACAGACAAUAAAAAUGGGCCGAGUUCAUGAGUUUAAGAUAAAUAAAUUAGAUAGGGGGUGAUAUUUUCCGAAAUGGUUAAAGCGAAUUUUACUAAUAAAAUCAUUAUGAAGAUUUUUAGAUGGUCUUUUUUUAAUAACACUUGACAAGAGAUAUAUAAGGAGUUUAAAAACUAAUAGGACACUAUUAAUCCUGAAGUUUGUUGGGUUCCGAGAAUGCGGCUUAUUUAAAAGAUUGUCCCUUUAAAGAUUUUAGUAUUUAUACUUUAAAGAAAAACCAGAUAUUUUGGAAUGCGCGUGGAAUUUCAUCUCUAAUUUUCCUUUAGAAAGUUUUUUGCAACAAGCUUGAAUAGAAAAAAUAGAUCAUUUCAAUUUCGGGAGUGUUUUUUGAAAACGCUGGUUGACUUUCCCUGAUACUAAAGGUAACAAUUUUUUUCUAUUUUACGAAUAAUAUGCCCCCUUACGGGAAGAUAAGAAAGAUAAUAAACAGGAAAGAUUAAAUAUUUGUUUAGACACAAAUUAAAAUGGAAAACU
rnacentral:rRNA from 1 species